UACGUAGGGGGCAAGCGUUGUCCGGAAUUAUUGGGCGUAAAGGGCUCGUAGGCGGUCUGUUGCGUCGGGAGUGAAAACUCAGGGCUUAACCCUGAGCCUGCUUCCGAUACGGGCAGACUGGAGGUAUGCAGGGGAGAACGGAAUUCCUGGUGUAGCGGUGAAAUGCGCAGAUAUCAGGAGGAACACCGGUGGCGAAGGCGGUUCUCUGGGCAUUACCUGACGCUGAGGAGCGAAAGUGUGGGGAGCGAACAGG
rnacentral:rRNA from 1 species